rnacentral:rRNA from 1 species
GUGGGGAAUCUUAGACAAUGGGGGAAACCCUGAUCUAGCCAUGCCGCGUGAUCGAUGAAGGCCUUAGGGUUGUAAAGAUCUUUCAGGUGGGAAGAUAAUGACUGUACCACCAGAAGAAGCCCCGGCUAACUCCGUGCCAGCAGCCGCGGUAAUACGGAGGGGGCUAGCGUUGUUCGGAAUUACUGGGCGUAAAGCGCACGUAGGCGGAUUGGAAAGUUGGGGGUGAAAUCCCGGGGCUCAACCCCGGAACUGCCUUCAAAACUCCCAGUCUUGAGUUCGAGAGAGGUGAGUGGAAUUCCGAGUGUAGAGGUGAAAUUCGUAGAUAUUCGGAGGAACACCAGUGGCGAAGGCGGCUCACUGGCUCGAUACUGACGCUGAGGUGCGAAAGCGUGGGGAGCAAACAGGAUUAGAUACCCCAGUAGUCC